GCCAUGUGAGGACACAGCAAGAAGCUGCCCAUCUGCAGGAUGAGGAGAGGGGCCUCAGGAAAAACGAAGCCUGUCCACAUCUUGAUCUUGGACUUUGAACCUCCAGAAAUAAUUCUUCAUUGUGGUGUUACCACAAAGAUGUGUUUGUGCAACACAUCUAUGGACUCACUGGGCACUGUGUAAUGGGGUUUGCCUAAGAAAGCAUGACUGACAGAUAACAAGUGAUCAGCUUAUGCUAGAAGGAAGCAAUUGGCAAGACUUCAGAAGUCUCAGGAAACUGGACGCUCCUUGACACCUCCUUCCAUGGGACAGGUGGCACCAGCUGUGGCCAAGAGGUAUCAGCAAUGCACUAAGUUAAUGAGGUCUCGGAGAACCUUCCACAGGGACAUCAUCUGAUACACAAGCUGGUCACAGCUGACCAUCCAGGCAUGUCCAGAGGCCUGCAUGGAUUCUGCCUCGACUUCCAGGCAGCAUGGCCACCCUUGGAGGGGUACGAU